rnacentral:misc_RNA from 1 species
GGACCGUCUUCCAGAAUCUCUGGUAUUAUAUUAUCUAGUCUAGCAACCAACUGCUCGAGUAUAUUGCGAGCACCUUCCGUAUCGUUAACAUUGGAUGGAUCACCUUGAGAGGAUUCACCACCAAGAAGUGCCGCAGCAGCAGUGAGAAUAUGAGAUUGUUCGAGCCAAGCAGGCUGCUCAGGCUCAGGGUCAACAGUAAGAUGCCCCUCAAAAAGGAAUCUUCUAGUUGAGUCAUUUUCUGUUGAUGUUGUAUUCUGAGAUUCAUUCUGUACUUCAGCUAACUGCUCUCGUGCCUGAGUAAUGCAACUCUGCAAAUGUUUCUUCUCAGCCGAUCCUGACACCAGGUGCUCAGCCUCAAUAAAUAGCCCAAGCCCAGCAUUCCAAAAUCCAGGCAUUGUGUAUCUUGUCUUUAAAA